rnacentral:rRNA from 1 species
UACGUCCUACGGGAGAAAGGGGGCUUCGGCUCCCGCUAUUGGAUGAGCCUAUGUCGGAUUAGCUAGUUGGUGAGGUAAAGGCUCACCAAGGCAACGAUCCGUAGCUGGUCUGAGAGGAUGAUCAGCCACAUCGGGACUGAGACACGGCCCGAACUCCUACGGGAGGCAGCAGUGGGGAAUAUUGGACAAUGGGGGCAACCCUGAUCCAGCCAUGCCGCGUGUGUGAAGAAGGCCCUCGGGUUGUAAAGCACUUUCAGCGAGGAAGAACGCCUAGCGGUUAAUACCCGUUAGGAAAGACAUCACUCGCAGAAGAAGCACCGGCUAACUCCGUGCCAGCAGCCGCGGUAAUACGGAGGGUGCAAGCGUUAAUCGGAAUUACUGGGCGUAAAGCGCGCGUAGGUGGCUUGAUAAGCCGGUUGUGAAAGCCCCGGGCUCAACCUGGGAACGGCAUCCGGAACUGUCAGGCUAGAGUGCAGGAGAGGAAGGUAGAAUUCCCGGUGUAGCGGUGAAAUGCGUAGAGAUCGGGAGGAAUACCAGUGGCGAAGGCGGCCUUCUGGACUGACACUGACACUGAGGUGCGAAAGCGUGGGUAGCAAACAGGAUUAGAUACCCUGGUAGUCCACGCCGUAAACGAUGUCGACCAGCCGUUGGGUGCCUAGAGCACUUUGUGGCGAAGUUAACGCGAUAAGUCGACCGCCUGGGGAGUACGGCCGCAAGGUUAAAACUCAAAUGAAUUGACGGGGGCCCGCACAAGCGGUGGAGCAUGUGGUUUAAUUCGAUGCAACGCGAAGAACCUUACCUACCCUUGACAUCUACAGAAGCCGGAAGAGAUUCUGGUGUGCCUUCGGGAACUGUAAGACAGGUGCUGCAUGGCUGUCGUCAGCUCGUGUUGUGAAAUGUUGGGUUAAGUCCCGUAACGAGCGCAACCCUUGUCCUUAUUUGCCAGCGAGUAAUGUCGGGAACUCUAAGGAGACUGCCGGUGACAAACCGGAGGAAGGUGGGGACGACGUCAAGUCAUCAUGGCCCUUACGGGUAGGGCUACACACGUGCUACAAUGGCCGGUACAAAGGGCUGCGAGCUCGCGAGAGUCAGCGAAUCCCUUAAAGCCGGUCUCAGUCCGGAUCGGAGUCUGCAACUCGACUCCGUGAAGUCGGAAUCGCUAGUAAUCGUGAAUCAGAAUGUCACGGUGAAUACGUUCCCGGGC